rnacentral:rRNA from 1 species
GACGAACGCUGGCGGCGUGGAUUAGGCAUGCAAGUCGGACGGUAGGGCUUUAUCGUAAGAUAGAGUUUGAGAGUGGCGAACGGGUGAGUAACACGUAGGAAUCUACCCUUAAGACGGGGACAACCCAGGGAAACUUGGGCUAAUACCGGAUGAGAGUGCGAGAGGUUGCAUUUAAAAGGAUGGCGAAAGUUGUCGCUUAGGGAUGAGCCUGCGGUCUAUUAGUUAGUUGGUGAGGUAAGAGCUCACCAAGGCGAUGAUAGAUAGGCGGCCUUAACGGGUGGUCGCCCACACUGGGAUUGAGAUACGGCCCAGACUCCUACGGGAGGCAGCAGUCGAGAAUAGUCUACAAUGGCCGGAAGGCUGAUAGUGCGACGCCGCGUGAACGAGGGAGCCCUUCGGGGUGUAAAGUUCUUUUAUAUGUGAGCAGUGCUUCUAUAUUAACAGUAUGGGGAAGAGAUAUUAGCAUAUGAAUAAGCAACGGCUAACUCCGUGCCAGC